rnacentral:rRNA from 3 species
CCACCUGACCCCAUGCCGAACUCAGAAGUGAAACGCUGUAGCGCCGAUGGUAGUGUGGGGUCUCCCCAUGCGAGAGUAGGGAACUGCCAGGC